AGCUCCAAUAGCGUAUAUUAAAGUUGUUGCAGUUAAAAAGCUCGUAGUCUAAGUUUGGAGAGGUUCAGGCCCGGUCUGCCGGGAUGGUGUGUACUGGCUUGACCUCUCUUCUAUCCAGCUUUGCUUCUCUUUGCUCUUAACUGAGUGGGGGGAAAGCUCUGGAUCGUUUACUUUGAAAAAAUUAGAGUGUUUAAAGCAGGCCUAUUUUGUGCCUUGAAUAUUGCAGCAUGGAAUAAUGGAAUAGGAUCUCACAUCCUUUUUCGUUGGUUUUUGCGUGUGAGAUAAUGGUUAAUAGAAUCAGUUGGGGAUAUUCAUAUUUAAUUGCUAGAGGUGAAAUUCUUGGAUUUAUGAAAGAUGAACUUCUGCGAAAGCAUUUAUCAAGGAUGUUUUCA
rnacentral:rRNA from 1 species